AUUGAACGCUGGCGGCAGGCCUAACACAUGCAAGUCGAGCGGUAGCACAGAGAGCUUGCUCUCGGGUGACGAGCGGCGGACGGGUGAGUAAUGUCUGGGAAACUGCCUGAUGGAGGGGGAUAACUACUGGAAACGGUAGCUAAUACCGCAUAACGUCGCAAGACCAAAGUGGGGGACCUUCGGGCCUCAUGCCAUCAGAUGUGCCCAGAUGGGAUUAGCUAGUAGGUGGGGUAAUGGCUCACCUAGGCGACGAUCCCUAGCUGGUCUGAGAGGAGGACCAGCCACACUGGAACUGAGACACGGUCCAGACUCCUACGGGAGGCAGCAGUGGGGAAUAUUGCACAAUGGGCGCAAGCCUGAUGCAGCCAUGCCGCGUGUGUGAAGAAGGCCUUCGGGUUGUAAAGCACUUUCAGCGGGGAGGAAGGCGGUGAGGUUAAUAACCUCAUCGAUUGACGUUACCCGCAGAAGAAGCACCGGCUAACUCCGUGCCAGCAGCCGCGGUAAUACGGAGGGUGCAAGCGUUAAUCGGAAUUACUGGGCGUAAAGCGCACGCAGGCGGUCUGUCAAGUCGGAUGUGAAAUCCCCGGGCUCAACCUGGGAACUGCAUUCGAAACUGGCAGGCUAGAGUCUUGUAGAGGGGGGUAGAAUUCCAGGUGUAGCGGUGAAAUGCGUAGAGAUCUGGAGGAAUACCGGUGGCGAAGGCGGCCCCCUGGACAAAGACUGACGCUCAGGUGCGAAAGCGUGGGGAGCAAACAGGAUUAGAUACCCUGGUAGUCCACGCCGUAAACGAUGUCGAUUUGGAGGUUGUGCCCUUGAGGCGUGGCUUCCGGAGCUAACGCGUUAAAUCGACCGCCUGGGGAGUACGGCCGCAAGGUUAAAACUCAAAUGAAUUGACGGGGGCCCGCACAAGCGGUGGAGCAUGUGGUUUAAUUCGAUGCAACGCGAAGAACCUUACCUGGUCUUGACAUCCACAGAACUUUCCAGAGAUGGAUUGGUGCCUUCGGGAACUGUGAGACAGGUGCUGCAUGGCUGUCGUCAGCUCGUGUUGUGAAAUGUUGGGUUAAGUCCCGCAACGAGCGCAACCCUUAUCCUUUGUUGCCAGCGGUCCGGCCGGGAACUCAAAGGAGACUGCCAGUGAUAAACUGGAGGAAGGUGGGGAUGACGUCAAGUCAUCAUGGCCCUUACGACCAGGGCUACACACGUGCUACAAUGGCAUAUACAAAGAGAAGCGACCUCGCGAGAGCAAGCGGACCUCAUAAAGUAUGUCGUAGUCCGGAUUGGAGUCUGCAACUCGACUCCAUGAAGUCGGAAUCGCUAGUAAUCGUAGAUCAGAAUGCUACGGUGAAUACGUUCCCGGGCCU
rnacentral:rRNA from 1 species